AUUGAACGCUGGCGGCAUGCCUUACACAUGCAAGUCGAACGGUAACGGGCCUUCGGGUGCCGACGAGUGGCGAACGGGUGAGUAAUGUAUCGGAACGUACCUUUCAGUGGGGGAUAACGUAGCGAAAGUUACGCUAAUACCGCAUAUUCUGUGAGCAGGAAAGCAGGGGAUCGCAAGACCUUGUGCUGAUUGAGCGGCCGAUGUCAGAUUAGCUAGUUGGUGAGGUAAAGGCUCACCAAGGCGACGAUCUGUAGCGGGUCUGAGAGGAUGAUCCGCACACUGGAACUGAGACACGGUCCAGACUCCUACGGGAGGCAGCAGUGGGGAAUUUUGGACAAUGGGGGCAACCCUGAUCCAGCCAUGCCGCGUGAGUGAAGAAGGCCUUCGGGUUGUAAAGCUCUUUCGGCCGGGAAGAAA
rnacentral:rRNA from 1 species